rnacentral:misc_RNA from 1 species
GAUGAAGAACGUAGCGAAAUGCGAUAAGUAGUGUGAAUUGCAGAAUUCAGUGAAUCAUCGAAUCUUUGAACGCACAUUGCGCCUUCUAGUAUUCUGGGAGGCAUGCCUGUUUGAGCGCCAUUAAACCUCUCUCAAGUAUGAUUACUUGGAUGUGAAGGAAGAGUACCUUAAACUUAAGGAGUGUUCUCCUUUGAAAUUGAUUAGCAGAUGGUAAUGUUAUUAAAUCCCUGAUGUUGUAAGAAAUAACAGUGGUUUUGUAGACUAUUAUCUAGCUUUAAAUUAUAAUUUUUAUUAUGGUUGACCUCAAAUCAGGUAAGGAUACCCGCUGAACUUAAGCAUAUCAAUAAGCGGAGGA